UGGGGAAUAUUGCACAAUGGGCGCAAGCCUGAUGCAGCCAUGCCGCGUGUAUGAAGAAGGCCUUCGGGUUGUAAAGCACUUUCAGCGGGGAGGAAGGCGGUGAGGUUAAUAACCUCACCGAUUGACGUUACCCGCAGAAGAAGCACCGGCUAACUCCGUGCCAGCAGCCGCGGUAAUACGGAGGGUGCAAGCGUUAAUCGGAAUUACUGGGCGUAAAGCGCACGCAGGCGGUCUGUCAAGUCGGAUGUGAAAUCCCCGGGCUCAACCUGGGAACUGCAUUCGAAACUGGCAGGCUAGAGUCUUGUAGAGGGGGGUAGAAUUCCAGGUGUAGCGGUGAAAUGCGUAGAGAUCUGGAGGAAUACCGGUGGCGAAGGCGGCCCCCUGGACGAAGACUGACGCUCAGGUGCGAAAGCGUGGGGAGCAAACAGG
rnacentral:rRNA from 1 species